rnacentral:rRNA from 1 species
UACGAAGGGGGCUAGCGUUGUUCGGAAUUACUGGGCGUAAAGCGCACGUAGGCGGAUAUUUAAGUCAGGGGUGAAAUCCCAGAGCUCAACUCUGGAACUGCCUUUGAUACUGGGUAUCUUGAGUAUGGAAGAGGUGAGUGGAAUUCCGAGUGUAGAGGUGAAAUUCGUAGAUAUUCGGAGGAACACCAGUGGCGAAGGCGGCUCACUGGUCCAUUACUGACGCUGAGGUGCGAAAGCGUGGGGGAGCAAACAGG